rnacentral:lncRNA from 1 species
CGGAACGCCAGCGCCGCAGUCCACAGGGGGAGGGAGGACGAACAAGAGGGAGGCGCGCCGGUGAGAAGACGGGGCGUGGCCGGCCGUAGGCGGAGCUAGCGCGGGUUGAAGUUGCGCAAGGAUCUAGUCCAGUCACUGGAGGGUAGCACCGGCACGUGUGUUCCCGUCAGUGUUUCCUGAGAAGGAAAAAAGUAGGGUGAGUGGGAAGAUAUCAUAGAGAAAGAUGUUUUCGACCAUAAAAAAUAAUAAAACAAUUCACAUUUUCCAUAAGGAGUUUCCUAAAACUUCCACUCUGGGCAAGAAAAGAAAAUGGGUCGGGACUUAGUGUCCCACUAUAAACAAUUAGAAAACGGAACAAAAUAUAGGAGACACCUAUUCAGACAUUGGACAACGGACAGCUGUGGACUGUUUUACCUGAGAGAAAAGAAAUAAAAGGAGCCGUAUAUCAUCCUGCCCUUUUGCCCAGAGGCGAUUUCCAGUCUGUGGUGCGAUGAAAGGAAAUCAUAUGGAAACCUAGGAUCUCCUGGGUUGAAAAGACAGAGAUUGGAGUUGACGAAAUUGGGGUAGGCCAAGUCGGUUGGAAUUUGUAGGGCAGAAUUCUGGAGAGGAGGGAAUUACAUGGAAAAAGAGCUUCAGAAAUCUGCUUAGGAGUACCUUGAAUCUUUAACUGAAUAAAAAACGUGAAACUCCACAAGGCCAGGAAAGAACAAUUACUGGGGAGCAGUACACCAAACAAUGGUGAGAGGUCACACAGAACUGGGAAUCAUUUGAGCUCCCAGCAACCAGAGUGAAGAGAUUAUUGAAUACCAUGGAACACGCAAUAGAAACCUCAGAUGUGAAACUGCCAUUGCAAAAUUAUCAUUGAGACAGUGAAAGAGAUCAGACCUAACCAACUCCAUCUUGCUUUUAACCUCCAGGCUAUCCUUAUUCAUUCCUAGGCGUAGGCCAAACUAACACUGGGAGGAACUUAGUGUAUAGCUUAUAGUUUAAAACAAAGGUGAUAGCCCUUUCUCAAAAUAAACCCUCUUCUUGAGACUAGACUGCUUUUGUAGGACUAGUAAAUUAGCCGAAAGAUUAGAAAUUAUGAUUUAGGACUCAUGCAGCUGAAGGCUACAAGAUUCUAACCCUCUCCAAAUUGCUCCUGGGGAUAAUAUCACUAUUGUAAAAUCUAAGAUCAGUGCUUGAGAUAUUUUGCAGGCCCUGCACUUGAUGGAUCAGCUGGCACCUCCCAGAUUGAUAAACUGACUCACCUGAUCUUGGAUAAACUAGCUCAUCUGAUUUUGUGUCCCCCACGGGAGGAACUGACUCAGUGCAAGAGGACAGCAUCGACUCCCUAUGAUUUCAUCUCCUACCCAACCAGUCACCACUCCCAUCUCACUGGCUUCUCACCCACCCAAUUAUCCUUAAAAACUCUGAUCCCCAAAUGCUCAGGGAGACUGAUUUGAUUAAUAAAACUCAGGUCUCCUGCACUGCCAGCUCUGCAUGAAUUGCUCUUUAUUGCAAUUCCCCUGUCUUGAUAAAUCGACUCUGUCUAGGCAGUAGGCAAGAUGAACCUUUUGGGUGGUUACGAAAGUGUCAUGCCUUAGUGAGAUAUAAUAACCGUAGACUGCAGGACCCAGAACAUAAACUACUGUAGAUUCUUCAAAAGCCUUAAAACAAGCCCUGAAAGGAUCAAACUGCUCUGUAAGUAACCUAAUUACCUGUAAGAACAAAUUCUAAAACUCUCUGAAAGACUACAGUAAAAUCCAGGAUUCAACAACAUUAAAUUCAAAAUGUGAGACAUCCAGUCAAAAAUUGAAAGACACGCAGCACUUGGGGAUGCUGAGGCGGGAGGAUUGCUUGAGCCCAGGAGUUUGAGGCUGCAGUGACCUAUGAUUGCACCACCACAACCCAGCCUGGGUGACAGGGUAAGACUCUGUCUCAAAAGAGAGAGAGAGAGACCAAGUGGUAAGAAAAUAUCUCACGAAGUUCAUAGAAACAAACCCCAAAAUGAUAAAAAUGAUGGAAUUAACAGACAAGGAUUUUAAACACCUGUUAUGAAUAUGCUCAAAGAUUUAAAGGAAGACAUGAUAGGAGAGAAACUGGAAAGAUUUUUGAAAAAUCAAAUUUCUGGAUGGAGGUGAAAAAUAUUUGAAAUAAAAAUUUCUUUGGAUGGGAUUGCUAGCGCAUUAAGCAAUGCAGAGAAAAAGGAGAUCUAACACAGGACAGAGGCAGAGAGAAUCCCCAAGAUGAUGGAGGAAGAUCGCAGCAUGACAGCUGUGCUCCAGGGGACAGUUGUGAGGAUCGGAGCAGCGCAAUUCAAGAGACAGGCACGUUGAAUGCUGUUACCACCAAGAUGUUGAAUGCUAUUGCAUACUCUAUUUAACAGGACACACAUACAGCUUUGCCCACCAAUUUCCAAAGGUUUCCCAUCAGCAAUCAAGCAAGAUGGAGCCAGGCUGUGACUUAGAGACUGUUCAGAUUACCUGGGAGACUUCAUCAAAUAGAGACGAUUUUGUCCCUCCUCAUACAGCUAAGUUUGUGUUUGCAUCUUAAUUUUCAAAACUAAACAAUAUGAUAGCUAGGCGCAUAUCCCUACAUGAAAAAUAGAUUUUGAAAAGGCAAUAAAAAAGAGACAAGUGGGGGCUCCUAAUGCACUAAGUUCUAUUUCUCAGUGGGGAUGAUAGAUGCAAAAAGCAUUUCAUUAAUAGUAGUAUGUUACUUAUAUGUUGUUAAAAGUUCAUUUGUGUAUAUAAUACAUUUUACCAUUUGUAAAAGUACAGAAGAGAAAAACAUUAUUUGCAAAAAAUUAUAAGCCUCUAUUUUGCUCUAAAUAAUAUAAUUAUAAACUUGAAUGUUUUAUUAAACUAUGGCAAAAUAUAAUAAUGAGGAGGAAGUUUCCAGGCAGAGGAGGCGGGGGUAUACUUCAGGAAAUUCGCAGAAAGGGGAGGAGGCUUGAAGGUACCUGCCAUGGUACUCGUGGGACCAAUAAUCAAAGAUGCAAUGGAAGGCAAUAGCCUGUUCCCAGAAAACAUUCCUAGUGCGAGAGCAAGCAAGAUUAAUGGCACGUCUUGG